AACGAACGCUGGCGGCAGGCUUAACACAUGCAAGUCGAGCGCCCCGCAAGGGGAGCGGCAGACGGGUGAGUAACGCGUGGGAAUCUACCCAUCUCUACGGAAUAACGCAUGGAAACGUGUGCUAAUACCGUAUACGUCCUUCGGGAGAAAGAUUUAUCGGAGAUGGAUGAGCCCGCGUUGGAUUAGCUAGUUGGUGGGGUAAAGGCCUACCAAGGCGACGAUCCAUAGCUGGUCUGAGAGGAUGAUCAGCCACACUGGGACUGAGACACGGCCCAGACUCCUACGGGAGGCAGCAGUGGGGGAUAUUGGACAGUGGGCGCAAGCCUGAUCCAGCCAUGCCGCGUGAGUGAUGAAGGCCCUAGGGUUGUAAAGCUCUUUCACCGGUGAAGAUAAUGACGGUAACCGGAGAAGAAGCCCCGGCUAACUUCGUGCCAGCCGCCGCAGUAAAAC
rnacentral:rRNA from 1 species